UACAGCCAUAUCACAUUGAAACACCAGUUCUUGUAUGAUCACCAAAGUUAUGCAACGUCAAGCCUGGUCAGUAGCUAGAUGGGUGACCGCUUGAGAAUAACAAGUGUUGUAA